rnacentral:tRNA from 1 species
CAGUAAAUAGUUUAAUUAAAAUAUUAAUUUUGGAGAUUAAUGAUAAGUUAUAUAGCUUUUUACUGA